rnacentral:rRNA from 1 species
AAACCAACCGGGAUUGCCUCAGUAACGGCGAGUGAAGCGGCAAAAGCUCAAAUUUGGAAUCUCAGUCUUUUCAGGCUGCGAGUUGUAAUUUGAAGACGUAUUUUGGGGUAAGCACAUGUCGAAGUUCCUUGGAACAGGACGUCACAGAGGGUGAGAAUCCCGUGCGAUGUGUUCACUGCCUUUUGUAAAAUGCUGUCGAAGAGUCGAGUUGUUUGGGAAUGCAGCUCUAAGUGGGUGGUAAAUUCCAUCUAAAGCUAAAUAUUGGCGAGAGACCGAUAGCGAACAAGUACAGUGAUGGAAAGAUGAAAAGAACUUUGAAAAGAGAGUGAAAAAGUACGUGAAAUUGUUGAAAGGGAAGGGCUUGAGAUCAGACUCGGGCAACCGGGCCAGCAUGGGGUGGGGGAGUAGGAUAACCCUGCAGGAAAGUGGCUCUGCUUCGGUGGAGUGUUAUAGCCUGUAGCUAUACUGCUACCCUCGCCCGAGGACUGCGGAAACAAGGAUGCUGGCAUAAUGAUCUUAAGCCGC